GACAGUGUGGUGUAGUGGUUUGAGCCCUGGGCUAUGACUCUGGAGAACAGGGUUCAAAUCCCUGCUCCACCA
rnacentral:tRNA from 1 species